UGUUCAUGUCCUACUGUUCAAGCCUCCAAGCUGUGCCUUGGGUGGCUUUAGGGCAUGGACA
rfam:Hepatitis B virus DNA, complete genome, isolate: Yamagata-3.